GGACUUAAAACCAUACAGGCCCAAGACUAAACAACCCAAACCUAAUGCGAAGAAGAAAUAGAAAAUAGAAAUAGCCCAUUGCCUAGGGAAAACCUUUAUCCGUCUCAUCCCCUUAUACAUCACUAAUGAUCGACGGUAACCCUAAACCCUAAAAACUUUCCAAAUUCCCAUCCCUGUAUCUAGAAGCUUCAUUUCAUCAAGACCAAAUCUACAAAGCUUUUGUUUCACCCAAGGACCCAAAAUUUGAACUCUUCUAUAGGCCUCAACUAGUUUCGCGAAUCCAAUCGUCUGCUAAAAUCUUCACAGCAUACCUCAGGACAGAGCUCCUCAGGUAAAACUCCUCACCUUUUCUCAAACCUUCAGAAGCUAUAGCGUCGGCAAGCUUGUUCACCGAUCUUCUAACAUACAUGAAACAUGUUUUUCAAAAAUUCCUUAAAAUGCUCUUAAUUUUUUGAAUAUUGGGAGAGAUUUAUGACUUAUCACUAUUCAGUAGAGAUUGAUUUGCAUUUUUUUAAUAGUCAAAAGUGAAUCUCCUUCUAAAAUUAUUUCUGUUAUGCCCAAAUCGAUCCCCAUUUCAGCUGCCCCAAAAGAAGGCGAGGGCCUCCGCUGCAAAAGCCGAGCCAACAUUCUCGUGUAUAGUUGAUCUAGAGGCAACCAACCUUCCUCUUCCAUUUCUGGCAACAAACCCUGACCCUGAUAAAAUAGAGCCCUGUCAAAUGCCGCGUCAAAGUUGAUCUUAACCCACUCCCUAGAAGGAGGCUCCCAUCUUGUAACGUCGACCACCUUAGUAUGCACAUUUUCCUCGAUGCCAUCUAACUCACAGAUGUAUCUAUGAAUAAAGUUAGAGAUCUCUCUGCAUGAUUGAAUCAUAUGUUCAUGAACUCUUUUAUUUCUUGCAGUCCACAGAGCCCAAAGGGUACAAUAAAAUAUCCGGAAUUGUGAUGUUGAACAAAUGUUAAAAACCCAGGUAAGCCACUCAAUCCACCCCUGAUUAUCAUUAGAGAGAACCACUGAUAACCCCACUAAUCCCCAAACUUCACUGGCAACAGGGCAGCUAUGAAAGACAUACGCUAAGGUUUCAACUCCAUCCCUACAUCUUGGGCAUAUUGCAGCCCUGAGUCAUUUAAAAUACAAGUUUGACAUAGAUGGGAUAAAAUUGUUUGAAAUACGCCAAACUGUACUUCUAAGUUUAGAAGGUAGAUUAAGGCUCCAUAGUCUUUGAUAGAAAAUUCUAGUCAUGGUUUGUAAUUCCUCUAAAUUAGGAUCAUAUAUCUCAGCUUGUAAUAGUUUGUACAAACUUCUAACAGUGAACUCACUAGAGGGUUCACCUCUCCACACUAGCUCGUCAUAAUGCUUGAUUUUUGCGAGUGAAACUUGAAGAAUCCUGGCGGCGUCAACAACGUCAAAAACAUCGGUAAUAAUAUCACUUCUCCAUUCUCUAUUAACACUAUUGAUGAGCUCAACAACUAAUUCCAUAUUACAAUUUCGAACUGGAUUAGAAAUAUUAUAAUGAACAAAACUUGGGAUCCAUGCAUGAUUAAAGAUAUAGAUAUUAUUACCUGUACCUACCCUCUAGCACAAACCAUCUUGUAAUGUCUUCUUCGCUACCCAGAAACUUUUCCACGCAUAGGACACUCCUGCUGUAAUAGCCUGGUUUAAACCCUAGUCAGAAUAGUGGUUUUGGGACCACAAAUCUGAGUAAGAAAAAUAUAUUAAUAGUAUUUUUGGUGUCUACAGCAUGUGAAUUAAUAUGUGUGAAAGUUUCGUGUGAAAAUUUUAUCGUUUGUGUGCUCAAUUUGUUAAAAGGACUUAAUCUCGUAAAAUGCAAAAGUGACUUGCUAAUUGUUAAAGUGCUAUAUUGCUAUGGCUUUUAUUAUAUGGACCCUUAUUUUAAUGGCCAAAAUUUAAGGUUUAUCGAGUGAUUAGAUAUAAGUAUUAGAGUAUUGAUAAGAAAUUUUAUUGAUUGCAUGCCUAAAUUGCCUAUUAGGACUUAAUUGCAGAAGUGGGUAAAUAUGAAUUUUAGAUGAUAAAGGAUUUAUUUGAAGUGCAUAAUCAAAGUAGAGGUCCUUAAAUAGUAAUUAGACCAUAAAAUUUCCAUGGACAAAAAUAGGCAUGCAUAGAUAAAAAUAACUAAAGUUUUAAUGAAGGGUAUUUUAGUAAAUAAAAAAUAAAAAUAAUAAAAAGGGAAAAAGAUGGCAAAAAUAUCAUCUUCUCCAUAGUUUGCUGCCGAAUUUGGAAAGACACCAUAGCUAGGGUUUUCACACUUUUUCAAGCUCAUAGUAAGUGAUUAUAAGCCUCGUUUUUAAUGCUUUUUACGUUUUUGAGAUCUCGGUAGCUUAAUUUAGCUUAUUCUAGCAAUAAUUUAAUUUAGGGUUUAUAUUUGGAAAAAUACCCAUAGCUGAAAAGUGUUUAUUUUGAUGUUUUAUGAUAGAAUAUGAAGCUAGAAAUUAUGUUAAACAACUUUUGCUAGCCGAUUUUAAGCGAAAACGAGUAAGUUGACAUAAUUAGUAAAAAUCCCUAAUGUACAUAAGUAACUAUUAGAGUGAGAAUUUGAUGUUUUCAUAGAAGAGAAAAAUGUUCAGCAUGUUAUAUAACAUAAGAAUAUGAGAUGAAGUUUAAUUUUCAAACUUUGGGGGAAAAGCAUAAUUAUGUAAAAGUUUAGGGGUAAAAUUGUAAUUUUGCUAAAGUUAGAGUCGAGAGCUGUUCUAAUGAAUGUGAGUAUUAAAUAAGUUAAAUUUUCUAUUAUAGAUCAAGAAGAAUGAAAUUCGAGGUUAGAUCGAGGAAAGAAUAAAGUUGAAGACUAAAUUGAUAAGUUUGGCUAUAUUUGCUACCAAGGUAAGUUUACGGUAAAUAAAUACAAUAUUUCAAUAAUUAUUAUUAAUGCUGCUAUUUUCCAGAAAUUAUGUAUUUAUUUUAUGAAAUUAUUUAAUGUUGACUUAAGUAUGAGAUGACGGAGAAUCAGUGAUAAAAGUCCCGUUGAAACAUUAGGAAUGUAUCGGAUACAAAUGUCAUGACAUUUGGGUAAAGAGAUCCCAUGUAAGACCAUGUCUGGGACAUGCCAUUGGCAUCCUUGAGAUCAUGAGAGGUCCCAUGUAAGACCAUGUCUGGGACAUGGCGUUGGCACCGAGAUGAGAGGUCUCCCGUAAGACCAUGUCUGGAACAUAGCAUGGGCACCGAUAUGAGAACUCCCAUGUAAGACCAUAUCUGGGAUAUGGCAUUGGCAGUACAUGAAACAUCCCAUGUAAGACCAUAUCUGGGACAUGGCUUUGGCAUGUUAUUAUCAGAAAGAGACCCAAGUAUCCUUAUUAUUCCAAUGUGGUUCAACGGGCUAGUAAAUAACUUAUAUCCAUGGAAGUUUAGUUAAAAGCAUAAAUGGCAAGUUCAAGUGAGUUAUAAGAGUUAAGAGUAUAUUACGUUACCCAUUGAGAAUCAACAUUUCAGCAAGAGAAAAGUAAGUCCAAAUUAUGAGUUGUCUAAGUAAACAAGUAAGUGAAUGAGUAAGAGAUCAAGUAAAGAGGAAAUUAAAGAUUAUGUUACUUGGUUAUUAUUAUUUGUGUUUAAUAUCGCUAUUUAUUUACUUGUAAACUUACUAAGCAUUAUUCUUACUUUAUUUAUUUUCUUUUUAUAUAGCAUUAUUAAUCAAAUUCGAGGAUCCUUAAGACGUCGGAGAUCGUCCACACUAUCAACCACAACAACUCGAUAUUUUAUGAUGAACUAUGUUUGAACUAUGGCAUGUAUAGGGACUUACUUAUUUUGAAUGUUGUAUUAUGAUUUUGAUAAAGAAUUAUGUGUAAAUAUCUAAUGAUGAAUGGCUGUCAAAAUGGCUAAGUAUGAAGGUGUUUGUUGUUAUACAUGUCUAUGUGAUAAAUUAUGCAUAGAAACCAUGAAAGAGUAAUAAUUUGCAAAGGAAUAGAUUUCAAAAAGUAGCAGUGACGUGAUUUUGAAAAAUCACUUAGGAUAGUAUAAAAUGAAUUAGAGGGUGUAUAAUAUAUAUAAUGAAAUCUUGUUGAGUCUAUUUUCAUGAAAAAAUAACGGUUUAGUAAAAGAAAUUUUAUAUUUUGAGAUAUGUGAAUUUUGGUGAGAUAGGGUCAGAACUAUUUUUGGAGUCCCCUGUUCUGAGUUUAAAAAAUCACUAAAACUUGUAAAAAAAUAUUUAUGAGUUUUUAUUUAUAUUUGUAGAUUCCUUAUUUAGUCUAUUUUCUUUAGAAACAAGUAAGAACACCAUAUGAAAAUCCUACUAUGAGAAAACUUAUUUUUAGUGGCAAGAGGUCAGGACAGUCGAGUGGUGAAACAGGGGAGAUUUUAACUAAUAAACUGUAUUAAUUGGCUGAACCAAAAAUUCUGAAAAAUUUAUGGUAAGAAGAUAUAUGAGUCUAGUUUCAGGGAAUAUUUAUGGAUUUAAAUUUUGAGUUCCAUAGCUCGAGUUAUAAAUGAUUUAGUGACUGCUGCGCGAGUGGACAACUUUAUCAUAAAUAGUGAGAUAAAUUUUAAAAGCAAAUUUUUAUGCCCCGACUUAAUAAGUUAAGUAAAGUAAUGCCUCGAGAUCGACUCCGGAAACGGUCUUGGGUAAGGGGUGUUACACUUAUGUUGUAAUUUAGUCAUUAGAAUUAUGUAUGGACAAAUUUGGACAACCAUUAUAAAGUUUAUAAUUAAAUACUUAAGGUUAAAAUAGUAAAAAGUAAAGUAAUAUGUAAUAAAAUAAAAUAAAACAUGUUAUUGGAUGAUUCAUUCAUCUUUAUUGCUGAAACUUGAAAGAAAAAGAAAGAAAAUAAGCAAGCUAGGGUUCGGCCAUUGCUAUAUUUGAUUAAGGUAUGUUAGUUUAUCGGUUUUUGAUAAUUUUUAUAUUUUUGAGAUCGUUGCUUCAUGUUUUAGCUAGCCCAUGCUUUAAUUUUCGGUAUUGAUGAUGAAUUUGAGAUUUGCCAUUGAUGAUAGCUUGUGUUUUUUGUUGUUUGAUGAUGGAAAAUAAAUCUUUGAUGUUUGAUUAUCAUGUUUAAUUAAGUGGUUUUUAAUAAAAAUCAAAAUUAGGGAUUUAUUUGUGAAAUUAGAAAAAUUAGAGGCUUAAAUGUGAAAUAAAUGAAAUCAAUGGGCUGCUAGGGACCUAGGAAGAUUUAGCUAAGGCAUGGUUUUGAUGAAUUUUGUGUAUUUUGUGAUUUUACGAAAUAGGGACUAAAUUUUAGGGGCUAAAGUGAAAAUUGCCCAAAUUAUGUGUUUUUGGUUUAAAUUGAAUGAAAUGUGUUAUUAAAUAGCUAAAUUUGAAAUUAUCUAGAUCAAGAACAAAAGAAAACGGAAUUAGAACGGGGGAAGUCGAAAGUGAACGAGUAGUCGAUUCUAUCCGUUUGUCUUCGUUCGAGGUAAGUUUGUAAGUGAAUAAUUGAUGUUAAAUUUAAUGUAUUUAUUUUAUACAUAGUAGAAUCGAAAUGUAUGAAUGUAUACUAUAAUGCAGAAUUGUAUUUAACAUCGGAUGAUUAAUUACAAGUUUAAUUUGAUUGAUUUACGACAUCAGAAAAACUUAUGAACCACAGGAAUACUGAAAUGUGAUAUCGUGUAAGACCACGUCUGGGACGUUGGCAUCGAUUUGAGAUUUACAUGCAAGACCAUGUCUGGGACAUUGGCGUCGUAUAUAAUUACAUGUAAGACCCUGUGUGGGACAGUGGCAUCGUUAUUUAAUUACAUAUAAGACCACGUCUGGGAAGUUGGCAUUGUACGAGCUUUUUGAGCCGUCUAAGUAUCCUUUCUUUGAAUUCGAAUGGUAUAACGGGAAAUUAUAUGGCAAAACUCAAUGUGGGUUUGAAUUAAGCAAUUCAGGUAUGUUUGAGUUAUACGAAGAUGAAAGUAAAGGUAAGUGUUAUGUAUAACAUGAUAAGAUGAAGUAAUCACAUAAAUAUGAGUAUAUAUGUAUGUGUACAAGAUUAGUAGAAUUCGACCUACUUGUAUAAUUUAUAUGUGUGCUUUGAAAACUAUGUGCUUACAGCUUACGAAGCUAUUUAAGCUUACUGUGUGUUUGUUCAUUCAUUGUUUUAUAGAUUUUGGAAGCUAGUUACGAGCUCGGGGAUCGUCAAAGAAGUCCGUCACACUAUCAAUCUCUAUCUCGGUAUUUUGAAAGCUCUAAACUUUGAACAUAUGGCAUGUAUAGG
rnacentral:lncRNA from 1 species